rnacentral:lncRNA from 1 species
UUCUCCUUUCUAGGCCUGGAGAAAAUCCUGCCUUGAAAUCCCAAGCUCUUUUUGCCGCAACCGCCUGGUUCUCCGUCCCGCUGAGGGCCACAGAAGCACGUUUGCAGGCUGAAAUAAACUUGCGCACCUCAUAAAAAGAACCAGGAAUGAUGCUACCAUUUCAUGGGAUAUUACACCAUAAUGAUGAUAAUCCUCCCAUUUACAUCUGAUCUUCCACAGACUUAGUGAAAUUAGCUUCCAUGCCACCUAGCAGGGGUAAUUUAUGAGAUAAAAAGGGAACCAUUGAGAGAUAAU